UCGAGGAUCUUCGGCAAUGGGCGCAAGCCUGACCGAGCGACGCCGCGUGCGGGAUGAAGGCCUUCGGGUUGUAAACCGCUGUCAGAGGGGAUGAAAUGCGCGGGGGUUCUCCCCCACGCUUGACUGAUCCUCAGAGGAAGUACGGGCUAAGUUCGUGCCAGCAGCCGCGGUAAGACGAACCGUACAAACGUUAUUCGGAAUCACUGGGCUUAAAGGGUGCGUAGGCGGUGCGGUAAGUUGGGUGUGAAAUCCCUCGGCUCAACCGAGGAACUGCGCCCAAGACUGCCGUGCUCGAGGGAGACAGAGGUGAGCGGAACUUCGGGUGGAGCGGUGAAAUGCGUUGAUAUCCGAAGGAACACCGGUGGCGAAAGCGGCUCACUGGGUCUCUACUGACGCUGAGGCACGAAAGCUAGGGGAGCGAACGGGAUUAGAUACCCCUGUAGUCC
rnacentral:rRNA from 1 species